UUUUCCCACUUUUCCUCCUCCCAGUUUUCCCUCUCCUAUUUUCAUUUUUUUUACUCUCAGAAUAAAUAAGAUUUUGAAUCUUCCACAAAUUUCUCUCUUUCUUUGUUCUCUGUUGAAAUGUAGUAACGAUUGAAUUGAGGGGGAAAAAGAAGAUUUUAAUUGCUUAAAAACUCUUUUUCAAAAAAAAAAAUUGGAGUUAAGUUUGACAGACGGUUGUGCGUGGAUUCGGAGUGCAACCUAAGUCCGAUGGCUACAACUUUCAGUCCAGGUCGGAGCCCGGGGGUUCAAUGCUUCAGUUAGGAGCAGGCAGUUGAGUGUCGAGGCUUAGAUCUUCGUCGCUUAAGAAGCCACCGGAGCCGUUUCGUCGUGCGGUGGCAGAUUGUCUUUCGUCUUCUUCGCUUGCAGCGGUGGUUGGAGGAGUUAGCUCGCAUCACCAAGGGGGUCCUUUGGUUUUAACUGAAGCUUCAAGGACGCUUCAGGGAUGGUGAAAUGAGAGCGUUGUUCAUGCAUACCUUAAACAGAACCAAGGACCAUUUUUCGCAACAUAAGUAUUAAGUACUGGCUGAGCUAAGUUUGUAAUUUACUGUUAAGAAAAAUGGAUUUUGCUAUGAUUAAAAAUUUAACAUGGGCUAUGUUGUUAAUCA